rnacentral:misc_RNA from 1 species
UUAAGUUCAGCGGGUAUUCCUACCUGAUCCGAGGUCAACCUUCUGCAGAUGCAGUUGGGGGGGUUUUAACGGCCGAAGCACGCCAGGCCACCUGAGCGAGAGGAGAAACUACUGCGCUCGGAGCCCUGGCGGGUCCGCCACUGAUUUUGAGGGCCUACCGGUCCGCUGGAGGGACCGUAGCACCCCAACACCGGGCCAAA